rnacentral:rRNA from 1 species
AGAGUUUGAUCCUGGCUCAGGACGAGCGCUGGCGGCGUGCCUAAUACAUGCAAGUAGAACGCUGAAGAGAGGAGCUUGCUCUUCUUGGAUGAGUUGCGAACGGGUGAGUAACGCGUAGGUAACCUGCCUUGUAGCGGGGGAUAACUAUUGGAAACGAUAGCUAAUACCGCAUAACAAUGGAUGACACAUGUCAUUUAUUUGAAAGGGGCAAUUGCUCCACUACAAGAUGGACCUGCGUUGUAUUAGCUAGUAGGUGAGGUAAUGGCUCACCUAGGCGACGAUACAUAGCCGACCUGAGAGGGUGAUCGGCCACACUGGGACUGAGACACGGCCCAGACUCCUACGGGAGGCAGCAGUAGGGAAUCUUCGGCAAUGGGGGCAACCCUGACCGAGCAACGCCGCGUGAGUGAAGAAGGUUUUCGGAUCGUAAAGCUCUGUUGUAAGUCAAGAACGGGUGUGAGAGUGGAAAGUUCACACUGUGACGGUAGCUUACCAGAAAGGGACGGCUAACUACGUGCCAGCAGCCGCGGUAAUACGUAGGUCCCGAGCGUUGUCCGGAUUUAUUGGGCGUAAAGCGAGCGCAGGCGGUUUGAUAAGUUUGAAGUUAAAGGCUGUGGCUCAACCAUAGUUCGCUUUGGAAACUGUCAAACUUGAGUGCAGAAGGGGAGAGUGGAAUUCCAUGUGUAGCGGUGAAAUGCGUAGAUAUAUGGAGGAACACCGGUGGCGAAAGCGGCUCUCUGGUCUGUAACUGACGCUGAGGCUCGAAAGCGUGGGGAGCGAACAGGAUUAGAUACCCUGGUAGUCCACGCCGUAAACGAUGAGUGCUAGGUGUUGGAUCCUUUCCGGGAUUCAGUGCCGCAGCUAACGCAUUAAGCACUCCGCCUGGGGAGUACGACCGCAAGGUUGAAACUCAAAGGAAUUGACGGGGGCCCGCACAAGCGGUGGAGCAUGUGGUUUAAUUCGAAGCAACGCGAAGAACCUUACCAGGUCUUGACAUCCCGAUGCUAUUUCUAGAGAUAGAAAGUUACUUCGGUACAUCGGUGACAGGUGGUGCAUGGUUGUCGUCAGCUCGUGUCGUGAGAUGUUGGGUUAAGUCCCGCAACGAGCGCAACCCCUAUUGUUAGUUGCCAUCAUUCAGUUGGGCACUCUAGCGAGACUGCCGGUAAUAGACCGGAGGAAGGUGGGGAUGACGUCAAAUCAUCAUGCCCCUUAUGACCUGGGCUACACACGUGCUACAAUGGUUGGUACAACGAGUUGCGAGUCGGUGACGGCGAGCUAAUCUCUUAAAGCCAAUCUCAGUUCGGAUUGUAGGCUGCAACUCGCCUACAUGAAGUCGGAAUCGCUAGUAAUCGCGGAUCAGCACGCCGCGGUGAAUACGUUCCCGGGCCUUGUACACACCGCCCGUCACACCACGAGAGUUUGUAACACCCGAAGUCGGUGAGGUAACCUUUUGGAGCCAGCCGCCUAAGGUGGGACAGAUGAUUGGGGUGAAGUCGUAACAAGGUA